GCCGACUCCUGUACUUCGAAUGGCAUUCUUCGUUAGCCCUUACUUGCGGUUUAACGAGGUAAUAAAUGGCAGAUAACGCCUCCCGGGCGCUUCCUACGGGAUGAGGCCCGCCCGGCGGGAGGAAGCGGCCCGAGGUGCGAACUGCCCUCCGCGCCGAGACCGCCCCCGCGUCCUCCCCCGGCACGGGCUCCGCGAUUGGCUGAGAGAAGAGCACGGCUGAGAGACGGUCCUUCUCAUUGGCCGGGAGUUUGAGGCAGGGUACAAAAUGGUGCAGCGGGGACGUCGUUGAGCUGUUUCGUGCUCGUGGUGUUCAGGGCGUCGCUUCGUUGGUGAUGUGGCGCUCUGAGAGCAGAGUCGAGCCGGCUGCCACCAGCCCUUCGGCGUUCUGGGAGCUCCUCGCCUUGCUGGGGAGAGAACCCGGUAUGGAGUGGCUGCUGCGUAGUCCAAAUGGCUGCACUGGAUCGCUGGGUUCAAGCGGACAGGAGUCUGGUGGCGGGGACAGAGUGGAUGAACUCAGCCAUGUUUCUAAGAAGCAUCCCUUGGGUCCUUGGCCCCUGAAGACUCUUAUGUUACUGGAGGGCUCAGGAAGUAACCACCAAUGGCAGCUGUACUGCGAGGGCCUGAAGAAUUUCCUUGCCUUUAGAGAAUGCAUGGCACUACCUGCAGCUUGGCCAGUUCCAGUGGGCCAAGUGAAAGGGUUCUUGGUUAUCAUGGAGUGCCAGGAUCUGCCUCCCACAAAAAUAAUAAUGUACGUGGAAGGACUAUCCUUCAUCUCCAAACUGGUAGAUCAUCCUGAUCCUCUUCAAGACCCUGCUGUCUGUCAUAUGAUAUCAAGAUUGAAACGUAGGACUGCUCUUUCAAAAGAGAAAUACUCUCCUGUAACAAUUGAAGUGUUAAGAUCUCUCCUGGGAACUCUGGAGUCUGUGUGUAGCUCUCCUUAUGAGUGUAUAUUGUUCCGUGCCUUAUUUACUGUGGCUUUCUGGGGGGCACUACACACAGAAGAAAUAGUGGCAAAUCACAAAAAUGUAGUGCAGCCAAAGCUCUUGUACUUGAGUGAUCUCCAGCUGACUGGCUGGAGUGCAAACCUUUGCUUGCGUGCAUCUCAAAUAGGUCAAGAAAGGGCUUUGGUCCAACUGGCACUUUCUAGAGAGAUGUGGGUAUGUCCUAUUGAAGCUCUCCGUGUCUAUGUGGCAGCACGGCCACAAGGAGAGGGUCCUCUCUUUGUGCAUUUGGAUAGUAGACCUGUCACAAAGAGGGAGUUCCUAACAGUCUUCCAACGUGCUCUUGGACUUGCUGGACGUCCUCCGAAUCAGUAUGGUGUGCAUUCCUUCUGGCUGGGGGCUCUUGUAACAGCAUGGUCUUCAUGGGUAUUCUGAUGAAGCCAUUGACAGAAUAGCAACUACUACUUUUCUCAUCCAAGAUGGCUUUGAGACUGUCUUGAUUUUAAAACUAUUGUGACUUGUGGGUCUGUUGGAAUGGAUGCAUACAGCAUAUUUGUGCUGGCUCUAUUUUGACCUUAUGUAAUUUCUCAUUAAACUGCAUUUUCUUUUCAUAAACUCUUCUGGUCUUUUUGUUGUGUGCUGGUCAAAGGCUGUGAUUCUGCACAACAGUGACAUGUUAACUUGGUACAGGCAUGCAUCCCAUUUACAGUCUGGUGGAAUGAGAAAUAAACCUAGCUGAUGACUGACA
ensembl:lncRNA